GUUUGAGUUGCUAACUAACAAUCAUAUGUAGUUCUGGUGCUAAUUUCUCUUCUAUUGUUCAGGUUACUGAAGAAAACCUCGCAGCACUAUUUAUAAAUUGCGGACAGGUUGUGGACUGUCGCAUGUGUGGGGACCCAAAUUCAGUCCUUAGGUUUGCUUUCAUAGAGUUCACUGAUGAGGAGGGUGCAAGGGCUGCUCUGAAUCUGUCAGGAACCGUGCUUGGAUAUUAUCUUGUCAAUGUUCUGCCGUAAAAAACUG